AUUGCCCCUAGAGGCACGGCAUGUGUGGCCGCUGUGUCACAGGGACAUCAGUAUACCAGUAACAGGGAGGAAAGAGGCUACGGUUUAUGCUCAUUGUUCUGACCUGAGAACAUCUGGAUGAUCUUAGCCUAACAUU